UACGUAGGGGGCAAGCGUUGUCCGGAUUUAUUGGGCGUAAAGAGCGCGUAGGCGGCCAUGUAGGUCCGUUGUGAAAACUCGAGGCUCAACCUCGAGACGCCGAUGGAAACCAUGUGGCUAGAGUCCGGAAGAGGAGAGUGGAAUUCCUGGUGUAGCGGUGAAAUGCGCGGAUAUCAGGAAGAACACCCGUGGCUAAGGCGGCUCUCUAGUACGGUACUGACGCUGAGACGCGAAAGCGUGGGGAGCGAACAGG
rnacentral:rRNA from 1 species